rnacentral:rRNA from 1 species
GAUGAACGCUGGCGGCGUGCCUAAUACAUGCAAGUCGAGCGAACGGACGAGAAGCUUGCUUCUCUGAUGUUAGCGGCGGACGGGUGAGUAACACGUGGAUAACCUACCUAUAAGACUGGGAUAACUUCGGGAAACCGGAGCUAAUACCGGAUAAUAUUUUGAACCGCAUGGUUCAAAAGUGAAAGACGGUCUUGCUGUCACUUAUAGAUGGAUCCGCGCUGCAUUAGCUAGUUGGUAAGGUAACGGCUUACCAAGGCAACGAUGCAUAGCCGACCUGAGAGGGUGAUCGGCCACACUGGAACUGAGACACGGUCCAGACUCCUACGGGAGGCAGCAGUAGGGAAUCUUCCGCAAUGGGCGAAAGCCUGACGGAGCAACGCCGCGUGAGUGAUGAAGGUCUUCGGAUCGUAAAACUCUGUUAUUAGGGAAGAACAUAUGUGUAAGUAACUGUGCACAUCUUGACGGUACCUAAUCAGAAAGCCACGGCUAACUACGUGCCAGCAGCCGCGGUAAUACGUAGGUGGCAAGCGUUAUCCGGAAUUAUUGGGCGUAAAGCGCGCGUAGGCGGUUUUUUAAGUCUGAUGUGAAAGCCCACGGCUCAACCGUGGAGGGUCAUUGGAAACUGGAAAACUUGAGUGCAGAAGAGGAAAGUGGAAUUCCAUGUGUAGCGGUGAAAUGCGCAGAGAUAUGGAGGAACACCAGUGGCGAAGGCGACUUUCUGGUCUGUAACUGACGCUGAUGCGCGAAAGCGUGGGGAUCAAACAGGAUUAGAUACCCUGGUAGUCCACGCCGUAAACGAUGAGUGCUAAGUGUUAGGGGGUUUCCGCCCCUUAGUGCUGCAGCUAACGCAUUAAGCACUCCGCCUGGGGAGUACGACCGCAAGGUUGAAACUCAAAGGAAUUGACGGGGACCCGCACAAGCGGUGGAGCAUGUGGUUUAAUUCGAAGCAACGCGAAGAACCUUACCAAAUCUUGACAUCCUUUGACAACUCUAGAGAUAGAGCCUUCCCCUUCGGGGGACAAAGUGACAGGUGGUGCAUGGUUGUCGUCAGCUCGUGUCGUGAGAUGUUGGGUUAAGUCCCGCAACGAGCGCAACCCUUAAGCUUAGUUGCCAUCAUUAAGUUGGGCACUCUAAGUUGACUGCCGGUGACAAACCGGAGGAAGGUGGGGAUGACGCCAAAUCAUCAUGCCCCUUAUGAUUUGGGCUACACACGUGCUACAAUGGACAAUACAAAGGGCAGCGAAACCGCGAGGUCAAGCAAAUCCCAUAAAGUUGUUCUCAGUUCGGAUUGUAGUCUGCAACUCGACUACAUGAAGCUGGAAUCGCUAGUAAUCGUAGAUCAGCAUGCUACGGUGAAUACGUUCCCGGGUCU